UCAAAAGAAAAUUCCACGGGGAUCUUGUUUGGGGAGGAAGAGGGCAAGAGGGAAAAGGUUCUAGGGACACUGAAAUAAAGAAGAAAUUCCACUCACCGUCUCAGUCCCUGAAAUGAUGAGGGCCAAGACAUUCUGGAUUUUUUUAAGCCUGAUGUUUGGGGGCUUUCAAUGUGGCCCCAUCACUGGUCCCGUCGCUGCCCUCGUUGCCACUGCCAGCCUGAGCCGGCACACUGCUGCCCUCUGCCUCCAUUCUCGCUCUCGGUCUCUGGAUUGCUUCUGCUAAGCUUGGUGGAUCUGGCUGUCGGGUGCGCCUCCGAGAAUCUGCUGCUCCUGCUUCACCGGCUGCUUCUUGAUGAAAGAGCCUGAAAAAGCUGAGCUCCCCACUGCAAGCCACAAGAGACCGUAGCAAUCAGUCCCUGAAAAGAUGGAACUCUAAGAGAGAACUCCAGUACCAGGAGGGAGUAUAAAAGACGCUUCCGAUCCAAAGAAGUGGUGACUGAGUGGAGCUGUGAGGUUUUCCAAGUCAGACACUGAGGCGUGUGAAGCUGUGUUUCUUUCCCUAAGGGUUCCCCCUUCCUUCCUUAGGCGGUGCUGCUGCUUCAGGAGCCCUAGCAGUUUGAAGCAUCAGGAGCUGCAGCGCCAACAUUGGUUGCUGGUAAUCUCCUCUACAAUCCAGAAAGCCUGAACCCCAGAGCGCAGGAGCUGCUGAAAAGUUGGACAGCUCCCACCUCUUUAGACCUAGCUAUUUGUCUCUCUCUAAAACCUCUUCAGCCAGUCAGGAAUAAGACAUGUCCUCUUGGUCCUUUCCCAGCUUCACCAUCAUCCCCCGCCCCCUUCCCUUAACCACUUCACGCCCCGGAGACUUCUCUUCACCUCUGUUUUGCUCAAUCUGCCAGAAGAAAUUCGAUUUGGUGAUUACUUGCCGGUUCUUAGCGUCUGCCAAUGUUCUCCAUUCUUGGACUCCAAAUGAAAAGAAGAUUACAAUGGCUAAAUUUCUCAAAAAGCCCUUAGGAAGCAAGGAUUCCUGGACCAGACAACACCCUUGGAGUUUGAAGUUCCAGGAGAGAAGGUACCUACUAAAUGCUGGAAGAAACAGAGUGGGAAGGACCUUAUCAGACAUUACAGAUGACUGAAACUGCAGUUUGGAGGCUGAGAACACCAGGGUUAAAGGAAUUGUGGAGGACCUGAGGAGAACUUUUAAGAAUAAUUUAUAACCUCUAAAAUUGACUUUGCAUUGGGGCAGUCAGAAAUGCUUUGGUGGGAGGGGAGAUUAAUUGUGCUUAGAAAAACUUUAACAAUAUUGGUUUUGUACCUGUUACAUUUCCAGAAAAGUUUAUAGAGACUCCUUGAUUGGAGGAAGUUGAAUUAAUUUUUUUUAAGAUGAAGAAAUUAUUAAUAUUAAUUCUGAUAAGGUUGUUCAGUGUGAAAUUAGGACAGUAUAUUCUAUAUUCUACAUGGGUUUUUAAUUGGUUGUAUUGAAUCAUUUUAAAGUUAUUCCCAUUGUUUAGGGAGAUUCUGAGAACACUGUUUUACGUCUUAGUCCCUUUGAACAUAAUUAAUACCUGAACAUGUUUUGAUAGUUUGGUUAUUGAGCAUCUAAAAGUGUAAUUAUGAAUUUAAAACCCAUCUACUGAGAUAUGAAUAUGUGGUGAACUUUCUAGAAUGAAUUUCUUAACUAUUAUCAAUGUAAUAUUAUAGUCAAUACUUAUUUAGGCUAUGUGAGCUAAAUUUACCUGACACUUUGAUUAAUGAGACUUGCUAUUUGAGAUAAAAUCUCUUGAGACUGUAGCUGAUAUUAUUUGGAGUUUUGAAUUCAGGUACAAUUGUCUAAUGGAUCAUAAAGCCAGUAAUCUAUCAUCUGAAAGGAAUAUGUCACAAGUUACUCAGAGCAAUGUGAUCCUAAAUUGUUACAGAUGGAGAAUAAUAUCUGGGCAAGAGUUGAGAGGACAACUUUGACCUCCUCUUAAGAUGGGAUCCUUCUGACUUAGUUUUUCAAUGAUGUUCUUUGAAUAAGAAUCCACCUGAUUAUUCUUGAGUCUGGUCACAAGGUGUAAUUGUUAUUGCAUAUAAUUAGCUAAGAAUGUUUUACUCUGUCAUGUAUGUACUCUCAGGCAGAGGCCUGAAGGACCAGUUUUGAUGCUAUUCGAAUUAUGUCCUUGCAUUUUCUUCUUAUAGCAAAUUUCUAUAAGCAGGGCAAAUGUUCAGUACAAUUCAAAUUUAAGAUCUUGCAUUUCUUAUCUGAAAAUAUGUGAUCAUUCUAUCCUAAAUAAGUAGGUGAGUAUUUGGCCUAGACAUCUAUCUGUUACUAGAUGCAUGUUUCUUUUAGCAUUUCUAUUGUUGCUGACUUUCCUAAUAGGCAACUCUAUUUUUGAAGAGUUAUCUACUCUACUUACUGGAGCCACAAAUGGUUGGGGUAAUAGAUGACCCCAGAUGGGAGUUAGGGGUACAAAAUUUCAGUUUGUUUGCUGAAUAAGUUCAUGAGAUUCCAGGCCAAUGGUUGAAAUAAUUACUAACCAAUUCACAAAGGCACUGGAUUUUUUUAGUAGACCAAGCCACUCAGACUGAAGAAUCAGUCCUCCAUAGUAGAAUGGUAUUAAACUAUUUGUUGGUUGAAGAAGGUAGAGUUUAUGGGAAAUUAAAUUUUUGCUGUGUGAAAAUUAAUAAUGGACAGGUAGUGAAAGAAAUUUCCAUAGACAUCAGAAAAUUGGUUCAAGUCCCAUUCCAGACCAAGUCUGGAAUCUAGGAAUCCAGAGAAUCUAGGAAAUCUUAACUUUUUAACUUAUGGUAAUAAAACAGUCCAGGAAGGUUAAAUUCCCAUUGAAAUUGUCUCAAAGGUUGUUGUGUCUGUCUUUAAAGAUGCUAACUAGAUUGGAGACAGGAUGGAGGAUUAACAAUGGACUACAGACAUUACUGGUCAGAUGAUAAAGACUGAACAAUCUGGAGAGGGAAGUCCAGUUAGAUAAAGAUGGUUCCUAGUAGAGAAAAAGGACAUACCAGGUCCAGAGGGAUCAAAGACUGAGAACAAGAUGGUUGAGGAAAUAUAUUAAGAAUAGUGUGAAAAAUCUUCAAAGGUUAAUAAAUAAAGAGGAAGGACUGAAUGGGAUAAAAUAAGUGAGGACCCCGCUUGGGAAUAUGGCCUUGAAUUAUGCUUCAAUUGUGACUUGAGACUUUGCUAUAACAAGUGGAGCUAUAGGUAAAAAGCUGCAGGUGUUCAGUUGUCUUGGAUGAACAUUUCCCCUCCUGUUCCUACAGAAGAUGGCACUUAGGCUCAUUAGAUUUUCACUGAGGAAAAGCCUUAGAAAUGAUCUACUACCAUAUCCUUUCCUUUCAUAAAUGAGGAAACUGAAGUUCAGAAAACUGUCCUCAGAUCAUAGCACAUAUAAAAAUGUGUAUAAGUCCUUGAGCACAUGGAUUUUUUACAUUUCUUUGUAUUUGCAUUUCUAGUGUUUAGCACUGUGCUGCACAAAGUAAAACAAUAAAUAAUUGCUUAUGAUUAAUUUACUGAAGUAACAAAUUCAAUAUUAAAAUCCAGCUGAAUCAGGUUUGACUUCAAAACUAUUGCACUUUGCUUUACAACACAUACCUUUUCAAAUGAAUUAAUCAACAAUCUUUAGAUUCAGUUAGUCAAUCAUUCUAACCAAAUUGUGUUAGACACCCAAUUUUCUUAGCUCAUCUUCUUAAGUUACCAUUUUUACUCCCAUGAAUUCUCACUUGAUUAUUCUUCUAGUAGAUAGAUCUAGGUCAUAUCUAAUCUAUUGGAUCUUCCUUACAAACUCAAGGCUGUCCAGCUACCUUAACUGUGCCACAGUCUGGGUGAAGGAUAGGCUGUGGAUAGGGACUGGUACUGUGAAUUCACAGGUACAAGGAAAUCUCUGGGGAAGAAACUCCUAUUGCCAAAACAGAUCAGUGCCUUUUCUCUAACUUUAAUUUUUGGAUAGCUGCCUAGAUGAAGAUUUAUUGUAUCAAGAAAUUAAAGACUUAUUGUAUUAAGAGACUUAUUGUUCAUGCUGCAACUAUGUAUCUAGGACAGAAUUUGAAACCAAAUCUUUCUGGAUUUAAGACCAGCCAAGAUUAUUUUUAUGAUGAAAUAAGCAUUUAAAAUUAAUAAAGGAUGUUGAAUAAAGUUUGGGAAAUGAGUCCCAGAACCUUCUGCCUUGUUCUCAGACCCUUUUACAGGAAGCACUGAAAUAAAACAG
rnacentral:lncRNA from 1 species